GACGUAGGUGGCGAACGUUAUCCGGAAUUAUUGGGCGUAAAGGGUGCGUAGGCGGCAUGAUAAGUUAUUGGCGGGAAAUCGAGGCUCAACCUCGUGGAAACUAAUAAUACUGUUUUGCUUGAGUACAGGAGAGGUUAACGGAACUCCAUGUGGAGCGGUAAAAUGUGUAGAUAUAUGGAAGAACAUCAAUAACGGCGAAGGCAGUUAACUAUUCUGUUACUGACGUUGAGGCACGAAAGCGUGGGGGAGCAAAA
rnacentral:rRNA from 1 species